rnacentral:rRNA from 1 species
GACAGAGGGUGCAAACGUUGUUCGGAAUUACUGGGCGUAAAGCGAGUGUAGGCGGUGUGGUAAGUCGGAUGCGAAAGCCCCGGGCUCAACCCGGGAAGUGCACUCGAUACUGCCACGCUAGAGUAUCGGAGAGGUUGGUGGAAUUCUCGGUGUAGAGGUGAAAUUCGUAGAUAUCGAGAGGAACACCGGUGGCGAAGGCGGCCAACUGGCUCGUAACUGACGCUCAUGCACGACAGCGUGGGGAUCAAACAGG